GACUCACGCCGAAUCUUCUCCAGGUUGCUGUAGUUACAGUCCCUGCGAAUCAGGGGCUGCACCUGCUCCAGGAGCUGCUGCAAGAGCAUGGAGUCACGCUCCUGCCGGCGGAUGGUGGCCAAGUAAUCAAUCUUCUCCAGCUGAAACUCGGACUGCAGAUCUUUGAUCUCCACCUCUGCUGCCCGAAGCUGAAAGCAAAGGAUGACAAGCAGAGCCUUUGAGAAGUCCCCACAUCCAACACCACAGUUCUAAAGGAUAUCAGAGAAUUGCACAAGUGACAUCUCUAAGGAGGACAACAGGCAUAAACUCUCCGACUUGACAAUCCUCACUCUCCCACUGCCACAGCCCUGUGUUACGGUGUGACAAACACCGGACCUAAACAAUGGACCUAAGAAUAAGACCCACCUUGAUCUGAUCAAGGGUUCCAGAUUCUUUUGGUCUCCUGCUCAAGUCUGCCAGACUGGUCCCUCUGGUCCCUCCUGAGCACAGGGAUCCAGGAGCCCAGGAAUGCAGGCGGUGUCUAGAAGCCAAGAGUGACCCACAGCCGAUGGUCAGCAAAAAGAUAAGGACUUCAGUCCCGCAACCAACCUCAUCGGACUAAAUUGUGCCAACACCUGAAAUGAGUGUGGAAAAGGAUUCUUCCCCUAGAAUCUCCUGAAGGAAGUCCAGCCCUGCUAACACCUUGAUUUCAGCCUUGUGGAAUUCUAAGCAGAGAAGCCAGCCCCACUGUACCUGGACUCUGACCUACAGAACUGUGAGAUGAUAUGUUUGUGUAUAUUAAGUAAGUAAAUUUAUAGUAAUUUGUUAACACAGCAAUAGGAAACAAAUCAGAGAUCGAUUGAUUGAUUGAUUGAUUUGAGACAGGGUCUCAUGCUGCUGUCCAGGCUGGAGUGCGAUGUCACGAUCUCCGCUCACUGCAAACUCCACCUCCCAGACUCAAGCGAUUCGCCCACCUCAGCCUCCCAAAGUGCUGAGAUUACAGGCAUGAGCCACUGUGCUCGGCCUAGAGUUCUAUUUAAAACUACACUUCACUAUACAAAGAGAAGAGUGUGCUAUUGAAUGAAGAAAACUAAGAUACCACCCCAAACUUCAUCUCUGCCUUCAGCAGUUAUUGAUAGUCCAGAAAAACAAGACUGUUUACAAAGUAAACAGAAAAGAACAGAUGUGUCUAACCAAAGCUACUAGAAGAAACAGAAAAUAAAAAUCAAAACAUUUCAGUGAAGAAAAUUCUCCCCGAAAGCACAAGCUCACAGAA